GGGGAUUUAGCUCAGUGGUAGAGCGCUUGCCCAGCAAGUGCAAGGCCCUGGGUUCAGUCCCCA
rnacentral:tRNA from 1 species